rnacentral:rRNA from 1 species
UGGGGAAUAUUGCGCAAUGGGGGAAACCCUGACUCAUCGACGCCGCGUGCGGGAUGAAGGACUUCGGGUUGUAAACCGCUUUUGAUUGGGAGCAAGCCUUUUGGGUGAGUGUACCUUUCGAAUAAGCGCCGGCUAACUACGUGCCAGCAGCCGCGGUAAUACGUAGGGCGCAAGCGUUAUCCGGAAUUAUUGGGCGUAAAGAGCUUGUAGGCGGUUCGUCGCGUCUGGUGUGAAAGCCCAUCGCUUAACGGUGGGUUGGCGCCGGGUACGGGCGGGCUAGAGUGCAGUAGGGGAGACUGGAAUUCCCGGUGUAACGGUGGAAUGUGUAGAUAUCGGGAAGAACACCAAUGGCGAAGGCAGGUCUCUGGGCUGUUACUGACGCUGGGAAGCGAAAGCGUGGGGAGCGAACAGG